rnacentral:rRNA from 1 species
UAUUGCUCUACAACGAGGAAUCCCUAGUAAGCACAAGUCAUCAGCUUGUGCUGAUUACGGCCCUGCCCUAUGUACACACCGCCCGUCGCUACUACCGAUUGAAUGGCUUAGUGAGACCCGCGGAUCGAUACUCAUCGACUGUAAAAGGUCUUUGUUUAUUGAGAAGUUGGUCAAACUUGGUCAUUUAGAAGAAGUAAAAGUCGUAACAAGGUUUCCGUAGGUGAACCUGCGGAAGGAUCGUUAUCAAUUACUGCGCGAUUUUUUUUUGCGCAUGUAUUUAAAACCCACACUCUUUUUUGGAAAAUUGACAUAUUUUUUACUUGAAAUUAAGUAAUUAAAAAGAUCACUUUCAACAACGGGUCUCUUGGCACUCGCAUCGAUGAAGAACGUAGCAAAGUGCGAUAAGUAGUGUGAAUUGCAGAAUUCCGCAGAUCAUCGAAUUUUUGAACGCAAAUUGCACUCUUCGAUUUCGAAGAGUAGGCCUGUUUGAGGGUCGUCAAAAUAAAAAUCGAUUCGUUACUUUUGUAACAUUUCGGAAUUGAGUCAUCUAGCAUCUUUGAUUCAAGAGGCUUAAAAUUGAUCACCUUUGGUAUGAUUUGGGUGUACUUAAGAUUUCUUUAUCGCGCUCGAUGAAUAUCGGACAUUUUCAUUAGGAUGACCAUGAUUGAUAAUGGUUUCAUUCCUAUAAUCAUUUCAUGAUACGACCUCAAAUCAGGUAGGAAUACCCGCGGAACUUAAGCAUAUCAAUAAGCGGAGGAAAAGAAAAUAACAAUGAUUCCCCCAGUAACGACGAGUGAAGAGGGAAUAGCUCAAAUUUUAAAUCUAUUAGGUUUCACCUAGUCGAGUUGUAAUUUGAAGAAGCAUUUUCCGUGUUUUCAAUAACCCAAAUUGGGAUAAGGUAUCAAGGAGGGUGAGAAUCCUGUCCGGUUAAUUUGAGACACUUUACGAUACGCUCUAAGAGAGUUGUUUGGGAUUGCAGCUCAAAAUGGGAGGUAAAUUUCUCCUAAGGUAAAUAAAGACGAGAGACCGAUAGCGAACAAGUACCGUGAGGGAAAGAUGAAAAGAACUUUGAAAAGAGGGUUAAAUAGUACGUGAAAUUGUUGAAAGGGAAACGAUUAAAGUCAGUCAUACUGAUGGGAAAUCAACUUCUCGAGCGUGGUUUAGUGGGAUCAAAGUGCCUUUGUUCUCGCGAUAUCUGGGUUCUUUUGGUGCACUUUCUUUAUUGUAGGUUAGCAUCGGUUUUGAUCGUCAUAAAAUGACUGGAGGAAUGUGGCUUCGACUUCGGUUGAAGUGUUAUAAACUCUGGUAGAUGUAAUGGAUGAGACCGAGGAUUGCAACGGAUGCCCUUAAGGGCUAUCCGCCUGGCCUCUAAUUGUCAAUUUGGCUUCGAAAGCUUGCUUACGAUGUUAAAGUGUGCGGUCAAUAGGUUAGAUCGGAUAAAAUUCGUUAAGGAUGCUGACGUAAUGGCUUUAAACGACCCGUCUUGAAACACGGACCAAGGAGUCUAACAUGUAUGCGAGUGUU